rnacentral:rRNA from 1 species
AACGAACGCUGGCGGCAUGCCUAACACAUGCAAGUCGAACGCUUUUGGGGCUUUGGCCUCAAGAGAGUGGCGCACGGGUGAGUAGCGCGUGGGAACCUGCCUUCUUGUGGGGGAUAACCGAGGGAAACUUCGGCUAAUACCGCAUGCGCCCCCGGGCUUGACCCGGGGGGAAAGAUUGAAUCGCAGGAAGAGGGGCCCGCGUCGGAUUAGCUGGUUGGUGGGGUAACGGCCUACCAAGGCACCGAUCCGUAGCUGGUCUGAGAGGAUGAUCAGCCACACUGGGACUGAGACACGGCCCAGACUCCUACGGGAGGCAGCAGUGGGGAAUAUUGGACAAUGGGCGCAAGCCUGAUCCAGCAAUGCCGCGUGAGUGAUGGAGGCCUUAGGGUUGUAAAGCUCUUUCGCCCGCGACGAUGAUGACGGUAGCGGGAGAAGAAGCCCCGGCUAACUUCGUGCCAGCAGCCGCCGUAAAAC